AUUAAGCACUUUGAGGCUUUUCCUUAAUACUUUGGUGGACACACGUCUAAACUUCAUAAGCAUCCAUUUUUGGUAGCAGAUGUAAGUGCUUUGUUUUCCAAUCACAAAGAAAAAAGACUGCUUAUUAUACCAAAAAGGAAAGAAAAACAAACUGACAUAACCUAAAAUCGACGUAUUAUUCAAAAAUAGGUAUGUAUAUCGUAGGAAAAAUAUAAAACAAUGGACAUU